AUGCAAACCUCCCUGACAGAGAGAACCAAACAACUGACGUUGCAGCGCCGUGGCAACGCAGGCCCUAACGACAGGGAGGCAGUCGUUAUGCAGAUGAGGUCCAGCUGAGAGCGCGGGAGGCCGCCUGGCUCGUUAGACCGCGGCCCAGCAAAUGGCUCGCUAAUGUAACACCGCUUCCUGGUCUAAUGGAGUCCUGUUUUGCAGAAUUAUUUGUCUUUGCUCCCCGCAGGGAGCCUGGGGGCCACUGACAGCAAGAAGGAGAGAAAGUAGAGAGAAAGGGAGAAUGACCCAACACACUGUGACUUGACGACAGGCCGUCAUGGAGCGGCUCUGGAGAGAAAACAUACAAUGCAAAAAGAUUGAGCAUGCCGCAAUACUGUGCGUACACAAGUGAGUACAUACGUGUAGUUUCUGCAGUGCGUUCUGUGUGACAUGGUGAACUUGACACACUGCUGCUGUGAUUGGAUGACAGCUGAGCUUCCUCCA